GUCAAGAACUGCGUCACCCAGGUGGCCAAGAAGGUGCUCACCAUGAACCCCACCGGCGACCUCUCCAGCGCGCGCUUCAGCGAGAAGAACCUCCUCACCGCCAUCGACCGCGAGGCCGUGUUCAGCUAUGCCGACGACCCGUGCAGCGCCAACUACCCGCUCAUGCAGAAGCUCCGCGCCGUGCUCGUCGAGCACGCCCUCACCAGCGGCGACGCCGAGCCCGAGGCCUCCGUGUUCUCCAAGAUCACCAAGUUCGAGGAGGAGCUCCGCUCUGCGCUGCCCCGGGAGAUCGAGGCCGCCCGCGUCGCCGUCGCCAACGGCACCGCCCCCGUCGCCAACCGGAUCGUCGAGAGCCGGUCGUUCCCGCUCUACCGCUUCGUCCGCGAGGAGCUCGGCUGCGUAUUCCUCACCGGCGAGAAGCUCAAGUCCCCCGGCGAGGAGUGCAACAAGGUGUUCCUCGGCAUCAGCCAGGGCAAGCUCA
rnacentral:misc_RNA from 1 species